CAAGGCCGUGCUGUGGGAUCGACAAAACACGAGGAUUUAGUCGUGACAUUUGUCAUUCCAGCCUGGGAUCCCUUCUGUUUUGUGGAAUGUUUGCUGUUAUUCAAAUAGCUGAAGAAAUAAUAACAUAUAGAGGGGAAAGAUUAAAAAAACUUCUGCAGAGAAGCAAACAUAACUGUCAUAACCCUGUUCCUAUGCUUUUGACCUUCUUUCACAAGAAAUCAGCCUCCCACCAGUGAGACCUGCUGGUUCAGAGCUGCUGCUUCCCUACACGUGUGAGGAAGAGCCCUCAAAAGAGGCUGCAGACUGCUGCUCUUCUCCUUCCCCAUCUCAAAGAGGGACAUGACACAGUGCCCGUUCCAGAAAACACCCACCUACAUUUGCCAGAGUCCAUCUUGCAUUCCUGCACUUUUCCUGGGCUCGAGGUUUCCUCCAUUGUUUGCUCUUUUGCAGGACUUGGACCAGCCUGAGCCGUCGCUGCCUCCAGGUUUGCAGUGAUGCUUCUUUCUACUCCUUUAAAACAAAAACACAUGGAUGCACUGGAGGGAGCACCUCCAUUAAUGCCUCUUUAAAGUAUUCCAGCGUGCCAGGCACCAGAUUAGGCUCAUUGUUUCCCAGUUUC